UUCUCAUCCAGUAGGCCUUUACUCAAUAGGAUUUCCUAUAAUUCUAUCUUAAUCCAUGUCUCUGUGGAUGAACCAAACAGACCACAACAUAGAAGAGCCUGCCAAAGUGGCUUCCUGCCAGCAGCCCUCUCUCCUCUUUAAGAUAGACUUCGGCUUAAUGAUUGUACAGUGAUCCAAAUCAAUGAAGAAAGCAAAGAACAGACACGUAUCUCAUUAUCUUCUGCAAAGAUCUAUUUGUUUAGCCAUGUGCAAAUAUUGCCCUAAAAUGUUCACAGGUUCCAGGAUAACCAGAUGUCUGAGGAAUAUUGAAGAUUUGAGUGAUGCCAGUGCCUCAGUCAGCCUGGAAGACUGUAUGGAAGGAGGCUGCCUGGCCACACACACUGUUAUGUCCCUCUCUCCCUAAAAAAGAGACACAUUUUGCCUUUGUGCAAAGCAUUACAUACAUGUGGUCUAUGUGUUCUGUUAUUUAACAUCUAAUAAUGUUGAUGACAUUAAAAUAUACUUGACAAUGA